rnacentral:rRNA from 1 species
GACGAACGCUGGCGGCGUGCUUAACACAUGCAAGUCGAGCGGAAAGGCCCUUUCGGGGGUACUCGAGCGGCGAACGGGUGAGUAACACGUGAGUAAUCUGCCCCUGGCUUUGGGAUAGCCACCGGAAACGGUGAUUAAUACCGGAUACGACCACUUCUCGCAUGGGAUGGUGGUGGAAAGGUUUUCGGCCAGGGAUGUGCUCGCGGCCUAUCAGCUUGAUGGUGAGGUAAUGGCUCACCAUGGCUUCGACGGGUAGCCGGCCUGUGGGGGUGACCGGUCACACUGGGACUGAGACACGGCCCAGACUCCUACGGGAGGCAGCAGUGGGGAAUAUUGGACAAUGGGCGGAAGCCUGAUCCAGCAACGCCGCGUGAGGGAUGACGGCCUUCGGGUUGUAAACCUCUUUCAGCAGGGACGAAGCGCAAGUGACGGUACCUGCAGAAGAAGCACCGGCCAACUACGUGCCAGCCGCCGCCGUAA